rnacentral:rRNA from 1 species
AGGAGGGACCACCCUCCAAGGCUAAAUACUACCUAGUGACCGAUAGCGUAUAGUACCGUGAGGGAAAGGUGAAAAGAACCCCGGGAGGGGAGUGAAAUAGAACCUGAAACCCUGCACUUACAAGCUGUGGAAGCACAUUUCUUGUGUGACCGCGUACUUUUUGUAGAACGGGCCAACGAGUUACGUUAAGUAGCAAGGUUAAGCACUUAAGGUGCGGAGCCGUAGCGAAAGCGAGUUUUAACUGAGCGUUCAGUUACUUGACGUAGACCCGAAACCGGGCGACCUACCCAUGAGCAGGAUGAAGCGAAAGUAAAAUUUCGUGGAGGUCCGAACCCACGAGCGUUGAAAAGCUCGGGGAUGACUUGUGGGUAGCGGUGAAAUUCCAAUCGAGCCCGGAGAUAGCUGGUUCUCCCCGAAAUAGCUUUAGGGCUAGCCUCAAGGUGAGAGAUACGGAGGUAGAGCACUGAAUGUCCUAGGGGGUAUUGCACCUACCGAAGACUAUCAAACUCCGAAUGCCGUCAUCUUAUACUUGGGAGUCAGACUGUGGGUGAUAAGAUUCAUAGUCGAAAGGGCAACAGCCCAGAUCGUCAGCUAAGGUCCCUAAAUGUAAGUUA